rnacentral:rRNA from 1 species
GUGUCAGCCGCCGCGGUAAUACGUAGGGUCCGAGCGUUAAUCGGAAUUACUGGGCGUAAAGCGUGCGCAGGCGGUUUGCUAAGACAGGUGUGAAAUCCCCGGGCUUAACCUGGGAACUGCGCUUGUAACUAGCAGGCUAGAGUGCGGCAGAGGGGGGUGGAAUUCCACGUGUAGCAGUGAAAUGCGUAGAGAUGUGGAGGAACACCGAUGGCGAAGGCAGCCCCCUGGGCUAGCACUGACGCUCAUGCACAAAAGCGUGGGGAGCAAACAGGAUUAGAAACCCCUGUAGUCC